AACUCAAAGGAAUUGACGGGGGCCCGCACAAGCGGAGGAACAUGUGGUUUAAUUCGAUGAUACGCGAGGAACCUUACCCGGGCUUAAAUUGCAGCGGAAUGAUGUGGAAACAUGUCAGUGAGCAAUCACCGCUGUGAAGGUGCUGCAUGGUUGUCGUCAGCUCGUGCCGUGAGGUGUCGGCUUAAGUGCCAUAACGAGCGCAACCCUUGUUGCCAGUUACUAACAGGUAAUGCUGAGGACUCUGGCAAGACUGCCAUCGUAAGAUGUGAGGAAGGUGGGGAUGACGUCAAAUCAGCACGGCCCUUACGUCCGGGGCUACACACGUGUUACAAUGGGGGGUACAGAGGGUCGCUACCACGCAAGUGGAUGCCAAUCCCCAAAACCUCUCUCAGUUCGGAUUGAAGUCUGCAACCCGACUUCAUGAAGCUGGAUUCGCUAGUAAUCGCGCAUCAGCCACGGCGCGGUGAAUACGUUCCCGGGCCUUGCACACACCGCCCGUC
rnacentral:rRNA from 1 species